GGGACAGGAAUCCCUCCGCUUAAUACCCCCCAACUCGUGGAGAGAGAAUAACAGCAGCUUGCUGACGUCUGGGCUGUUAGGUUUGUUCUAGAGGAGGGAUGAGAAAUUCAGACCAUCUUUCAUACAUUUCUAACCAGAGUGCAAAAAUCGUCAGACACAACCCUUCAACACCCACGGGGUGAUCUGAGAAAAUGCGGGGUGAAGCUGGAAAAAGCUGUCACAGUGACCAAGAAGGCUCUGCUCAUGAGUCAUGAAUGGACGUCUCCUUCAAAUCAGCAAGUGUCCUUUUAAGACAUAUGCCAGCGAAUCCCUCUAAGGCCUAAGCUUCCAGAAGUUUUGAGGCAUGUGCUGUCGUCACUGAAACCCCUGCUUAACAACGCCAGCUUCCAGAUCAUGCCAAGCACCACUCAGAAGCCCAAUCAACGGCAACCACCGACCGCAACGUAAACCAGCGUGAGGACCCGAGAGCGCCCUCGCUCCCACCCUGUCCUCAGCCCAGCCUGGUUUUUCCAUCACAUGCUUUUUAGGCGACAGGGAGCUGAGGCAGGGGGAACAUUCAGUUCCCCUUUCAAAGCCUGGGGGCACUUAAAAAUAUCUUCGAGUAAGCAACCAGGGUUCAGAGGAACACUGACUUACACUUGCAGGAGACUGGUGUUGGAAGCCAGGCUCCCGAAUGACCUCAAACCUGGACUUGGGCUUGGCCUGGGCAGCCUGUGAGUACCCUUUGCAGACGGCUCCUGCUGCACCCUGUUGCAUCUCCAUCUGGGCAAACAAUCUUGCAACAACAGCCCUGGCUCUUCUUAAGGCCAUUUGUGAUGGACCGAAGUGUGUCCCCUCCACCCUCUGAAAUUCAUUUAUUGAACUCUUAACCCCUAGUGUACCUCAGAACGUGACUAUAUUUAGAAAUAGUGCCUUUAAGAGGUCAUUAAGUUUAAGUUUAAAUAAGGUCAUACGGGUGGGUCCUAAGUCAAUAUGACUGGUGUCCUUAUACGAAGAGAAAGAGACACCAAGAACUAGUGCUCUCUCCGCAGGCACAGAGGAAAGGCCACGUGAGGACAGUGAGAAGAUGCCAUCUGCACACCAAGAAGAGAGUCCUUGGGAGAAACCAAGCCUGUCAACACCUCGAUCUUGGACUUUCAGCCUCCAGAACUGUUAGAAAAUAAACUACUGUAGUUUAAUGCACCCAGUCUGCUAUAUUUUGUUAUGGCAGCCCGAGCACU